AACGAACGCUGGCGGCAUGCCUAACACAUGCAAGUCGAACGAGACCUUCGGGUCUAGUGGCGCACGGGUGCGUAACGCGUGGGAACCUGCCCUUAGGUUCGGAAUAACUCCCCGAAAGGGGUGCUAAUACCGGAUAAUGUCUUCGGACCAAAGAUUUAUCGCCUUUGGAUGGGCCCGCGUUGGAUUAGCUAGUUGGUAGGGUAAAAGCCUACCAAGGCGACGAUCCAUAGCUGGUCUGAGAGGAUGAUCAGCCACACUGGGACUGAGACACGGCCCAGACUCCUACGGGAGGCAGCAGUGGGGAAUAUUGGACAAUGGGCGAAAGCCUGAUCCAGCAAUGCCGCGGGAGUGAUGAAGGCCUUAGGGUUGUAAAGCCCUUUUACCCGGGAUGAUAAUGACAGUACCGGGAGAAUAAGCUCCGGCUAACUCCGU
rnacentral:rRNA from 1 species